GCAAAAAGGCGAAACGUAGAAGGCAAGACCGGCUGCGAGUAAGUUAGACUCGUUAUCUUAUUCAAAGUGGGUAGUGGAGGAACAGUGACGAGAGGAAUGGCGAGCAUUGUGGCAGGGACGCCGUGGAUGAGAAUUAGAGUUUCUCCUCCGCAAAUUUUGCGCCAAUCGUCUGUGUAUUAUUGUUUCAACCGGAAGAGUAGAUUCUCAGUCUCAGCGUCCUUAUCGCCAAAUUCCAACAGAGCUGAUGGACAAGUCAGAGUUCGUUUUGCUCCUUCUCCCACCGGCAACCUCCACGUCGGCGGUGCCAGAACUGCUCUCUUCAAUUACUUGUUCGCUAGGUCGAAAGGAGGAAAAUUUGUUCUGAGAAUUGAAGAUACUGACUUGGAGAGGUCUACUCGGGAAUCUGAGGAGGCAAUGCUUCAGGAUCUUUCUUGGCUUGGUCUUGAUUGGGAUGAAGGCCCUGGUGUUGGUGGAGACUAUGGUCCUUAUAGGCAAUCUGAAAGGAAUUCUAUGUACAAGCAAUAUGCGGAUAAGCUUCUGGAUUCGGGUCAUGUUUAUCGUUGUUUUUGUUCUAAUGAGGAACUUGAGAAAAUGAAGGAGAUUGCAAAAUUAAAGCAGUUGCCUCCAGUGUAUACAGGAAAGUGGGCCACUGCAACUGAUGCAGAAGUACAGGACGAGUUGGCUAAAGGUACACCAUACACAUAUCGAUUUCAUGUGCCAAAGGAAGGGAGGUUGAAAAUCAAUGACCUUAUUAGAGGAGAAGUUAGUUGGAACUUGGAUACUCUUGGUGAUUUUGUAAUCAUGAGGAGCAAUGGACAGCCUGUUUACAAUUUCUGUGUCACUGUUGACGAUGCUACUAUGGCUAUUUCUCAUGUUAUAAGAGCAGAAGAGCAUUUACCAAAUACUUUAAGGCAAGCACUUUUAUAUAAGGCUCUUGGAUUCUCAAUGCCGUACUUUGCCCAUGUUUCCUUAAUUCUUGCACCUGAUAGGAGUAAGUUGUCAAAACGGCAUGGUGCAACUUCAGUGGGUCAGUUCAGGGAGAUGGGCUACCUGCCUCAGGCAAUGGUAAACUACCUGGCACUUUUAGGUUGGGGUGAUGGCACUGAAAAUGAAUUUUUCACACUUGAACAACUUGUUGAGAAAUUCUCAAUUGAGCGUGUUAACAAAAGUGGUGCCGUCUUUGAUUCUACUAAAUUAAGGUGGAUGAAUGGUCAGCAUUUAAGGGCUCUUCCAUCAGAAGAGUUGACCAAACUUAUUGGUGAACGCUGGAAGAGUACUGGUAUCCUCAAUGAAUCAGCGGGGCCAUUCGUAGAUGAGGCUAUUCAUCUGCUCAAGGAUGCGGUUGACUUGGUGACUGAUGCAGACAAAGCACUUUCAAAUUUGCUAUCUUAUCCUUUGCAUACUACUUUGACCAGUCCGGAAGGUAAACCUGUUGUAGAAGAUAACCUUUCUGAAGUUGCGGCUAACCUCUUAGCUGCCUAUGAUGGUGGCGAAAUUAUUGGUGCACUUGAAGAAGGCCCUGCUGGCUGGCAGAAGUGGGUGAAGAGCUUUGGAAAAUCAUUGAAGCGCAAGGGGAAAUCACUUUUCAUGCCCCUCAGGGUGUUGCUAACUGGAAAACUUCAUGGCCCAGAAAUGGGAGCCAGCAUAGUUUUACUCCACAAAGCUGGAAUCCAUGGCGUCAUUACUCCGCAAGCUGGGUUUGUGACAUUGAAUGAGAGGUUCAACAUGCUGAGAAAAAUCGACUGGGAAGCAUUGAACAAAAAUGAACCUCUGUUGGAGUCUGCCACCGCCGUACCCAACUGAGGGAUCACAAUUUUGACCGGCUCAUCAGAAACCUUAGAUUUUUACUUCCAAUAUAUUUGUGCUUCACCAAAAGAGACCAAUAAGUACACAACAGCCCAAAAUGUGUCAGCAUGUUCUUCAAGCUAACAAAGAGGCUUUCUAAGAAAUUAAUUUGUAGACGUUUGGUUUAAGAGAAAGAGAGAACCAAAAUGAGAAAGAUAGUCAAAGCAAUAGAAGGAAACAUCUAAUUUUUCAAGCA